ensembl:lncRNA
GUCUAAUUACAACAUAGAGGACAUGUAGUCUAAUUACAACAUAGAGGACAUGUUGUCUAAUUACAACAUAGAUGAUGUGUAUUUAAAAAAAAUAAUAAACUUUUUAUAGGACAUAUAGUGUUGUUACAACUAUAAAAGACAUGUAUAUAUGUACUGUACAAUAUCCAAGUCUGUGUGUGUUACUAGAAGUUACCAGUUCCAGGUGUAGAUAUGUGUGGACCUGAUGCUAAUGACAGUCUCUGUUUUGUCUUUAAUUAUCUUUCUGUUCUUCUACAGUGGACAAGGAUUUAAUAAUUGGUAAGUGUGUGUGUUAUUAGAUGUUACCAGUUCCAGGUGUAGAUAGGUGUGGACCUGAUGCUAAUGACAGUCUCUGUUUUGUCUUUAAUUAUCUUUCUCUUCUUCUACAGUGGACAAGGAUUUAAUAAUUGUGGACAAGGAUUUAAUAAUUG